UACGUAGGGGGCAAGCGUUGUCCGGAAUCAUUGGGCGUAAAGCGCGUGUAGGCGGCUCGACAAGUCUGCUGUGAAAGUCCAGGGCUCAACCCUGGGAUGCCGGUGGAUACUGUCGAGCUCGAGUCCGGAAGAGGCGAGUGGAAUUCCUGGUGUAGCGGUGAAAUGCGCAGAUAUCAGGAGGAACACCAAUGGCGAAGGCAGCACUCUGGGACGUGACUGACGCUGAGACGCGAAAGCGUGGGGAGCAAACAGG
rnacentral:rRNA from 1 species